GACGAACGCUGGCGGCGUGCUUAAUACAUGCAAGUCAACUUGACUUUAGAUAGCAAUAUCGAAAAGUAGGGUGGCGCACGGGUGCGUAACGCGUAGGUAAUCUGCCCUGAGGUCUGACAUAACCCGUCGAAAGGCGGGCUAACAUCAGAUGAUAUAUAAUCACGACAUCGUGGAAAUAUCAAAUCUUCGGAGCCUUGGGAUGAGCCUGCGUCUGAUUAGGUAGUUGGCGGAGUAAUAGCCCACCAAGCCUACGAUCAGUAGCUGGUCUGAGAGGAUGAUCAGCCACACUGGAACUGAGACACGGUCCAGACUCCUACGGGAGGCAGCAGUAAGGAAUAUUGCUCAAUGGGGGAAACCCUGAAGCAGCAACGCCGCGUGAAGGAUGAAAUACUUUUGUAUGUAAACUUCUGUAAGAUGGGAAAAUAUUCUCCUCGGAGAAUUGAUUGUACCAUCAGAGUAAGCCCCGG
rnacentral:rRNA from 1 species